rnacentral:lncRNA from 1 species
GUUUGAGAUCGUUGCUUUGGUUUUUCGCUUUGGGUUCAUAAAUCCAUAUUGAGCUCUAACAUGGUUGGUACUGUAAAGAGUGUAAUGCAAAGGAAUCUGAUUUAUUUUUGAAUUCUUCAUAUAUGAGAUUCCCAGCUCUCACAUAGUCCACACUUCACAUGAUUAGAUUUGCAAGUUUUCAGCUCCAUCUUUCUUAGUUAUUAUCCAUAUCAAUAUGAAGGUUCUGUUACUUGGGUUUGAUGGACUAUAUGCAGGAGACUUCUAGAUAGAGGCUUGAUGUACUUUUGCAUCGAAUCUAGACUAUUUAUACAUUAUAUCUACAACAUGAUAAGAUAGCAUGCUUGCAAGUUCUCAUCUAUUAUGUUUCUCAUUAAGUUUAUCUAUCAACUUGAAGUGCAAUUUGUUGGGAAGGUAUGAUACAAAUAAUAUCCUUUAUAAGGGUGUAACUUAUUGGAAGGGUGAGUAUGUGAUAUGUUGAAUUAAAUCAAAUAAUUUAAAAUUUGAAAACCAAAAUUGGUUAACGGCUAAGUGGCAAGCAUCCGUGAACAAGCAAGGGAGCAAACAUGGAAGAAUUUCUAAUGAAAGUAAACCAUGACAAGUGUCAUGN